rnacentral:rRNA from 1 species
AGGUAAGCUACUAAGAGCGAAUGGUGGAUGCCUUGACUGGUAAAGGCGAUGAAGGACGUACUAGACUGCGAUAAGCUACGGGGAGCUGUCAAGAAGCUUUGAUCCGUAGAUUUCCGAAUGGGGCAACCCAAUGUAUAGAGAUAUACAUUACCUAUAUAGGAGCGAACGAGGGGAAUUGAAACAUCUUAGUACUCUCAGGAAAAGAAAUCAAUAGAGAUUGCGUCAGUAGCGGCGAGCGAAAGCGCAAGAGGGCAAACCCAGUGCUUGCACUGGGGGUUGUAGGACUGCAAUGUGCAAGAGGUAAGUUUAGCAGAACAUUCUGGAAAGUAUAACCAUAGAGGGUGAUAGUCCCGUAUGCGAAAAACAAACCUUAGCUAGCAGUAUCCUGAGUAGGGCGGGACACGAGGAAUCCUGUCUGAAUCCGGGUCGACCACGAUCCAACCCUAAAUACUAAUACCAGAUCGAUAGUGCACAAGUACCGUGAGGGAAAGGUGAAAAGAACUGAGGUGAUCAGAGUGAAAUAGAACCUGAAACCAUUUGCUUACAAUCAUUCAGAGCCCUAUGUAGCAAUACAGGGUGAUGGACUGCCUUUUGCAUAAUGAGCCUGCGAGUUGUGGUGUCUGGCAAGGUUAAGCAAACGCGAAGCCGUAGCGAAAGCGAGUCUGAAUAGGGCGCUUAGUCAGAUGCUGCAGACCCGAAACGAAGUGAUCUAUCCAUGAGCAAGUUGAAGCUAGUGUAAGAACUAGUGGAGGACUGAACCCAUAGGCGUUGAAAAGCCCCGGGAUGACUUGUGGAUAGGGGUGAAAGGCCAAUCAAACUUCGUGAUAGCUGGUUCUCUCCGAAAUAUAUUUAGGUAUAGCGUUGUGUCGUAAUAUAAGGGGGUAGAGCACUGAAUGGGCUAGGGCAUACACCAAUGUACCAAACCCUAUCAAACUCCGAAUACCUUAUAUGUAAUCACAGCAGUCAGGCGGCGAGUGAUAAAAUCCGUCGUCAAGAGGGAAACAACCCAGACUACCAGCUAAGGUCCCUAAAUCUUACUUAAGUGGAAAACGAUGUGAAGUUACUUAAACAACCAGGAGGUUGGCUUAGAAGCAGCCAUCCUUUAAAGAAAGCGUAAUAGCUCACUGGUCUAGUGAUUUUGCGCGGAAAAUAUAACGGGGCUAAAGUAAGUACCGAAGCUGUAGACUUAGUUUACUAAGUGGUAGGAGAGCGUUCUAUUUGCGUCGAAGGUAUACCGGUAAGGAGUGCUGGAGCGAAUAGAAGUGAGCAUGCAGGCAUGAGUAGCGAUAAUUAAUGUGAGAAUCAUUAACGCCGUAAACCCAAGGUUUCCUA